UACGUAGGCAGCAAGCGUUGUUCGGAAUUACUGGGCGUAAAGAGUGUGUAGGCGGUGCUCUAAGUUCGGUGUGAAAUCUCCCGCUUAACUGGGAGGGUGCGCCGGAAACUGGAGUGCUUGAGCUGCGGAGAGGGAAAGCGGAAGUUCCUGGUGUAGCGGUGAAAUGCGUAGAUAUCAGGAGGAACACCUGUGGUGUAGACGGCUUUCUGGACCGUAGCUGACGCUGAGACACGAAAGCGUGGGUAGCAAACAGG
rnacentral:rRNA from 1 species